rfam:Actinobacteria bacterium 69-20 SCNpilot_cont_1000_bf_scaffold_388, whole genome shotgun sequence.
GGGGCCGUAGCCCAAUUGGCAGAGGCACACGGUUUAGGUCCGUGCCAGUGUGGGUUCGAGUCCCACCGGCCCCA